rnacentral:rRNA from 1 species
GACGAACGCUGGCGGCGUGCUUAACACAUGCAAGUCGAACGGAAAGGCCCUGCUUUUGUGGGGUGCUCGAGUGGCGAACGGGUGAGUAACACGUGAGUAACCUGCCCUUGACUUUGGGAUAACUUCAGGAAACUGGGGCUAAUACCGGAUAGGAGCUCCUGCUGCAUGGUGGGGGUUGGAAAGUUUCGGCGGUUGGGGAUGGACUCGCGGCUUAUCAGCUUGUUGGUGGGGUAGUGGCUUACCAAGGCUUUGACGGGUAGCCGGCCUGAGAGGGUGACCGGCCACAUUGGGACUGAGAUGCGGCCCAGACUCCUACGGGAGGCAGCAGUGGGGAAUAUUGCACAAUGGGCGGAAGCCUGAUGCAGCCACGCCGCGUGCGGGAUGACGGCCUUCGGGUUGUAAACCGCUUUCGCCUGUGACGAAGCGUGAGUGACGGUAAUGGGUAAAGAAGCACCGGCUAACUACGUG